GAAGUCGGAAUCGCUAGUAAUCGUGGAUCAGAAUGCCACGGUGAAUACGUUCCCGGGCCUUGUACACACCGCCCGUCACACCAUGGGAGUGGGUUGCAAAAGAAGUAGGUAGCUUAACCUUCGGGAGGGCGCUUACCACUUUGUGAUUCAUGACUGGGGUGAAGUCGUAACAAGGUAACCGUAGGGGAACCUGCGGUUGGAUCACCUCCUUACCUUAAAGAAGC
rnacentral:rRNA from 1 species